GAUGAACGCUGGCGGCGUGCCUAAUACAUGCAAGUCGAGCGAACGGACGAGAAGCUUGCUUCUCUGAUGUUAGCGGCGGACGGGUGAGUAACACGUGGAUAACCUACCUAUAAGACUGGGAUAACUUCGGGAAACCGGAGCUAAUACCGGAUAAUAUUUUGAACCGCAUGGUUCAAAAGUGAAAGACGGUCUUGCUGUCACUUAUAGAUGGAUCCGCGCUGCAUUAGCUAGUUGGUAAGGUAACGGCUUACCAAGGCAACGAUGCAUAGCCGACCUGAGAGGGUGAUCGGCCACACUGGAACUGAGACACGGUCCAGACUCCUACGGGAGGCAGCAGUAGGGAAUCUUCCGCAAUGGGCGAAAGCCUGACGGAGCAACGCCGCGUGAGUGAUGAAGGUCUUCGGAUCGUAAAACUCUGUUAUUAGGGAAGAACAUAUGUGUAAGUAACUGUGCACAUCUUGACGGUACCUAAUCAGAAAGCCACGGCUAACUACGUGCCAGCAGCCGCGGUAAUACGUAGGUGGCAAUCGUUAUCCGGAAUUAUUGGGCGUAAAGCGCGCGUAGGCGGUUUUUUAAGUCUGAUGUGAAAGCCCACGGCUCAACCGUGGAGGGUCAUUGGAAACUGGAAAACUUGAGUGCAGAAGAGGAAAGUGGAAUUCCAUGUGUAGCGGUGAAAUGCGCAGAGAUAUGGAGGAACACCAGUGGCGAAGGCGACUUUCUGGUCUGUAACUGACGCUGAUGUGCGAAAGCGUGGGGAUCAAACAGGAUUAGAUACCCUGGUAGUCCACGCCGUAAACGAUGAGUGCUAAGUGUUAGGGGGUUUCCGCCCCUUAGUGCUGCAGCUAACGCAUUAAGCACUCCGCCUGGGGAGUACGACCGCAAGGUUGAAACUCAAAGGAAUUGACGGGGACCCGCACAAGCGGUGGAGCAUGUGGUUUAAUUCGAAGCAACGCGAAGAACCUUACCAAAUCUUGACAUCCUUUGACAACUCUAGAGAUAGAGCCUUCCCCUUCGGGGGACAAAGUGACAGGUGGUGCAUGGUUGUCGUCAGCUCGUGUCGUGAGAUGUUGGGUUAAGUCCCGCAACGAGCGCAACCCUUAAGCUUAGUUGCCAUCAUUAAGUUGGGCACUCUAAGUUGACUGCCGGUGACAAACCGGAGGAAGGUGGGGAUGACGUCAAAUCAUCAUGCCCCUUAUGAUUUGGGCUACACACGUGCUACAAUGGACAAUACAAAGGGCAGCGAAACCGCGAGGUCAAGCAAAUCCCAUAAAGUUGUUCUCAGUUCGGAUUGUAGUCUGCAACUCGACUACAUGAAGCUGGAAUCGCUAGUAAUCGUAGAUCAGCAUGCUACGGUGAAUACGUUCCCGGGUCU
rnacentral:rRNA from 1 species